GUGGGGAAUAUUGGACAAUGGGGGCAACCCUGAUCCAGCAAUGCCGCGUGUGUGAAGAAGGUCUUCGGAUCGUAAAGCACUUUCGACGGGGACGAUAAUGACGGUACCCGUAGAAGAAGCCCCGGCUAACUUCGUGCCAGCAGCCGCGGUAAUACGAAGGGGGCUAGCGUUGCUCGGAAUUACUGGGCGUAAAGGGCGCGUAGGCGGCUCUGUUAGUCAGGCGUGAAAUUCCUGGGCUUAACCUGGGGACUGCGCUUGAUACUGCGGAGCUUGAGGCCGAGAGAGGGUGGUGGAAUUCCCAGUGUAGAGGUGAAAUUCGUAGAUAUUGGGAAGAACACCGGUGGCGAAGGCGACCACCUGGCUCGGUACUGACGCUGAGGCGCGACAGCGUGGGGAGCAAACAGGAUUAGAAACCCGGGUAGUCC
rnacentral:rRNA from 1 species